UCCGUAGGUGAACCUGCGGAAGGAUCAUUAACACGAUAUCCAUUUUACAACCAAGAAUCUAAUGUGGGUCGGUGAAGGACGCAAGUCUGGAUCCAUCCAAGGGCGUCUUCCGGCCAUCCUCGGGUGGUCGAGUUGACGUCACCGCUAACCAUUACAUCCAUUCUUUUAAUUUGAGUUUUCAAUUUCUCUUGACAACUCUUAGCGAUGGAUCCCUCGGCUCGAGUAACGAAGAAGGACGCAGCAAAAUGCGAUAAGCGCUGUGAAUGGCAGAAUUCCGCGAAUCAAUAGAAUGCUGAACGCAUACUGCGCUUUUAGGUUAUUCCUAAAAGCACGUCUGUUUCAGGGCAUUUAUACUGUUAUACUAUCAACUCUUGCCAGUACUUCGGUACCAGCGUGUUGUUAGUGUUUAUGUGUGUCAGCGACGAGAAAUCCGUUGUCACAUCAAAUACAAUAGCUUUAUGCUAAGGGCAUCGCCACUUGGUGCAGAUUAUUCUACUCUUAGUGUGUGACGUUUCUAGUAUUGCGGGCUAUAGCAUUCCUGAGAAUGAAUCAUUCUCUGUUCAUGCAUGAAAUCAGAUGAGAUUACCCGCUGAAUUUAAGCAUAUCAAU
rnacentral:rRNA from 1 species